AACGAACGCUGGCGGCGUGUUUAAGACAUGCAAGUCGAACGGGGAGUAUUUGGAGUUUACUUUAAAUGCUCCUAGUGGCGCACGGGUGCGUAACACGUGAGUUACAUGCCCUGCAGUGGA
rnacentral:rRNA from 1 species